AGAAUACUACUGUUGGUGUGGAGGAGAACCAAGGUCAGCAGAUAGCAAAUGAGGAGAAUCCCAAGUCCUGUGAGCAUGAAUCACAAGGAAGUGAUGAAAAUUAAACUGGUCUCUUGUAUGGAGGAAAUGACAUUCUUUUCGAGUCAUAUAGAUGAUGAAGUAUGGGCAAAUGUCUUGUAUGGAGGAAAUGACAUUCUGCAAGAGUUAACUGUAACAUUGCCAGCAUUUAGUCAGUAUACAGGUCAGAGCUUAUUGAAACUUACUCAUUGGAGAGCACUGAUAGAGCAUCGAAUUUCAUCAUUGGGAAGCUUGAGGUGGAGAUGGUUCCUUAAUCUGCAGUAAAAGUACCAAGGUGAGUCAAUAUUAGGAGUACAAGUAUAUGCAUGUCAACAAGUAAAAUAACUCUAGAGCAUGUCAACUGUUUAUGCAUAUGUGACUUCAAGACCAUAAACACAUUUUUUCAGCAGACACUAAAAGCAUGUCAAGCAGGUUAG